rnacentral:rRNA from 1 species
GACGAACGCUGGCGGCGUGCUUAACACAUGCAAGUCGAACGGAAAGGCCUCUUUCGGGGGGUACUCGAGUGGCGAACGGGUGAGUAACACGUGAGUAACCUGCCCUUGACUUUGGGAUAACUUCAGGAAACUGGGGCUAAUACCGGAUAGGAGCUCCUGCUGCAUGGUGGGGGUUGGAAAGUUUCGGCGGUUGGGGAUGGACUCGCGGCUUAUCAGCUUGUUGGUGGGGUAGUGGCUUACCAAGGCUUUGACGGGUAGCCGGCCUGAGAGGGUGACCGGCCACAUUGGGACUGCGAUACGGCCCAGACUCCUACGGGAGGCAGCAGUGGGGAAUAUUGCACAAUGGGUGGAAGCCUGAUGCAGCAACGCCGUGUGCGGGAUGACGGCCUUCGGGUUGUAAACCGCUUUCGCUCAUGACGAAGCUUUGUGUGACGGUAGUGGGUAAAGAAGCACCGGCUAACUACGUG